rnacentral:rRNA from 1 species
UACGUAGGGUGCGAGCGUUGUCCGGAAUUAUUGGGCGUAAAGGGCUCGUAGGCGGUUUGUCGCGUCGGGAGUGAAAACGCCGUGCUUAACACGGCGCUUGCUUUCGAUACGGGCAGACUAGAGGUAUGCAGGGGAGGACGGAAUUCCUGGUGUAGCGGUGAAAUGCGCAGAUAUCAGGAGGAACACCGGUGGCGAAGGCGGUUCUCUGGGCAUUACCUGACGCUGAGGAGCGAAAGUGUGGGGAGCGAACAGG